rnacentral:rRNA from 1 species
CACGUAGGGGGGCUAGCGUUGUCCGGAAUCAUUGGGCGUAAAGCGCGUGUAGGCGGCCCGGUAAGUCCGCUGUGAAAGUCGGGGGCUCAACCCUCGAAAGCCGGUGGAUACUGUCGGGCUCGAGUGCGGAAGAGGCGAGUGGAAUUCCUGGUGUAGCGGUGAAAUGCGCAGAUAUCAGGAGGAACACCGAUUGCGAAGGCAGCUCGCUGGGACGUUACUGACGCUGAGACGCGAAAGCGUGGGGAGCAAACAGG